rnacentral:rRNA from 1 species
GUGGCAGCCGCCGCGGUAAUACGGAGGGUGCAAGCGUUAUCCGGAUUCAUUGGGUUUAAAGGGUGCGCAGGCGGAUUAUUAAGUUAGUGGUGAAAUCCCGGGGCUCAACCUCGGAACUGCCAUUAAUACUGGUAAUCUGGAAUACGGUUGAAGUGGGCGGAGUGUAGCAUGUAGCGGUGAAAUGCAUAGAGAUGCUACAGAACACCGAUCGCGAAGGCAGCUCACUAAGCCGAUAUUGACGCUCAGGCACGAAAGCGUGGGGAGCGAACAGGAUUAGAUACCCUGGUAGUCCACGCCGUAAACGAUGAUAACUCGUUGUUGGCGACACACAGUCAGCGACUAAGCGAAAGCGAUAAGUUAUCCACCUGGGGAGUACGAUCGCAAGGUUGAAACUCAAAUGAAUUGACGG